CAGAAUUCGGAGAAGAGACAGACCUAAGGAGAAUAGCUUGGGAUACAGCUUGGGGUGUUCUGGGAGAUGUUCCUGUCUCUCCUUGCAUGACUAAGGGAUUCUGUUUAUCUGCCUUCAAAACAGGAACAUAGAAGAGAUGUCAGAAUCCAGCCUUAUAGAAUUCUCGUUCUCUCAGUGUUUAAAGGAAUCUGCUUUAUUUGUAUCCCCUAGGCUAACAUGGGAACACACCUCAUCACCAUAACAAACAGUUAAAAGAUAUUGAAAUUGCAACUUUAGCUGCUAGUUGGCUCUUGAUAAUGGGGGAGCUGGUUGUUCCUAGUCCUUUACUUGCCAGAAGCCACCCAAGUCAAAUGAGUAACAUGAACACCCUGUUGCAAUAAAGGAGGAAGUUGGGUCACAAGCUUUCAGAACUGCCCAAACUUUGAAAACAGUUUGAUGAGCAGCAGCAAAGAAACAGUAAGAUGGUUCCUUUACAUUUGAUUCCUGUUUGUUAUCUUGUAUUAUAAAUCACAUUGACAUCUAAAGACUGUUAUGCAGCCACAGAAUGAUUUUAAAUAGCAGGAGGCACAAGUUGAACAAGUGACAUGGAAAGUAAAGUGGCCAAACCCUGUUCUUGUCACUAGCAAGGGUUAACAAGUGAAAGAAUUAUCACUGCAGGCUUUUCCUGCUUAAGUGUUGUACAGGUAUGAAAUACCAUGCUCUUGUUCCAAUGUAGAUGGAAAACUCAUUCUUCUACCUAGAUUACCACAACAAAACCUUAUCACAUCCCAGGUGAUUGCAGUAAGCACCAAGUAGUCAUAUGAUAUGUGUGCAAACACACACAAUCAUGACUUCGAUGCAGAUGGUGAUUGUUAACUCAUCGUGAGUUAACACAUUUCUGCUCUGGAAGUCAGAAGGGAGCCAAUGUGCAGCUUGCUCAUGAAGAAAAAUGUCCUUCCAGCCCAGUUGCAAGUCCAAGAGCUUUCAUGUCCACCAUCAGCAAAGGUACUCACAUCAUCUUACUAUGUAGUUCUAAAGUCCCUGGAAGUCAGCACUCCUUUGCAAUGGUUGGCUUAUCAGACAGUGUACUCUUGUAUUAAACACUGUUAAAACCAAAACAACACAAAUCAGUCCCUAGAUUAAAAAGUUACUCUUCCUCUUUUUUUUUCUUGUAAUUGAGGCUCUUUGUUCCUCUGACCUUUAGGUUUGUGCUGUCCUAGGAAUUAUCUAAUAGCACAAGGAAGUGACUUGUUAUCACCAUGACACUUGUUUUUUGGUUGUUGGGUUCUUUGGGAUUUUUUGGGGUUUUUUUUUGUGUGUUGAUAAACCUAAAAUCUUGAUAGAAGAACUUCAAAACAAAGUGUCUGGAUGCUGAUUUGCUGAGGAAGGUAAUUUCACCAAGAUGUGAGCCAAUCUAGGGUUGAUGCCAGCACAACCUGGACUUGCAGAGACAGAGUUAAUGCUUGCAAAACUGUAUGCAAAGGGAAAACUUAAAUAUAUUCCAGACAGCAGAAACAUAUAAAACCAGCUGAUGUGAUCAGUACAACACAAAUGAAGAGGAAACCAGUCUGGAGUCCAAAAGCUUCAAUGUAUGAUUGUAUUAAGUCAGAAUAUAAGCCUUACAUCACACCCUUCUAACUGUCAAAACCAGAAAUGACACUAGUCUCUGCCAACUGCUGCUUCAUUUGCAUCAGAAUUCUCUAUACCCCAGCAUUAUUAAUGUUCUCCUUUUCAUGUA